GCCUCUCGCGUCGCGCGUGCCUGCGAGCAGAGGGAAAAGGGCACCAAACCCUAUCCUCGUCUCCCGCAGCCGCCUCUGGCCAUCUCCCCUCCCCUCGAGCCUCCCGCAACCGCCGCCUCCCCAGCUCCCGCAGCCGCUGCCUCGCUCCCCGCCGUCGCCUCCCCAGCCGCAGCCGUUGCCUCGCUCCCCGCCGCUCCGCCUCCCUAGCCGCCACCCGCCCUUCUCCUCCUCCAAGGUCCCAUCCCCAUCUCGUCGGUUGGCCUCCUCCAUGGAGCUCGAUGUUUCUUGGUGCUCUGAUGGCCGCCGUCGACGAGAUCGAGAUGGAGCAGGGAUGUCGCCCGUGUGAUUCUCCUCUCGGUUGUUGAAGGGAAAUAGGGAAGAGUGGAAGCCAUCUCCGUGCUUAGCAGGUAGGGGACGGGCCGCUGAUCAAGCUGCUGCUACUCUCUGCCUUUUAUUCUUCGCGGGAGGUGAGAGGAGCAGCAACGGGCUGUACGGCCGGCCGGAUGAGCUGCUGGUGGUGGUGGAGAGCACAUCUCCAAAGGCACUUGCUGCGAGGGAGUUCUCUAGCGCCCCUGCCACGCUAGCAUUCCAUCUCCCAUACCAUGCCCCUCCUCUAGCUGGCUGAGAGGAAGAACGGCAAGAGCUGCAGAACCACACCUCCAUCUUAUGCCAAGAAGUGAGAGAUCAGAUGAGUGUUGGCCAUGGCGGAGGAUAUGGACGAAGCCUUGCAUUCUACAUUUCUAUAAUUAUCACUACUGCCUUGUUGGUGUACCUGUAUUUCAGUUGAAUUUUUCAGUUAUAAUUAUGUACAAUUUGUGGUUCAAGUGGAUGAUUCCUUAGUCUUGGUAAUUAGAAAAUCAUAAGAAGUUGACCACUGAUCCUGAUGGAAAAUAAUUGGUGUUGAAUUACAGUUGUUUUCCAGACGAUGAGAUGGAGGGGAUGAAGCCAACAUUCGGCGAUUCUUCCAAUUACCUUCAGAGACGAAGAACUCGGCGUUCCAAGUAGCGAGUGCAGUUGGAAGAUUAUGGCCAAUGAUUUGUUGUCUCGGAAGAUCGGAAGCUUUACUGGGAUGACAUCCUUUACCAAUACACAGUCGGCCACCUAAGUUCUGGCCUAACCAGUUUUCUAAUUUCAGAUCAACACUGCAUAAAUAUUCUACCGCUGUGAAGCACAUACUGGAUUCUCUUUUGGUCACAGUGGCGAGGAAUCUGGGACUGGAACCAGCAACGAUCGCUGAGAAAUGUGCCAGCGGGAUACAAUCAUUCAGGAUGAACUACUGUCCCUGUCUCCUGUGCAUGCGGCAGCCCGACAAAGUCGUCAGCUUCUCUCCACACUCCAAUUCUGAUCUGCUCUCUCGUGCUCCAAGUAAAUAAUGUGCAAGGCGUGCAGAUCAAGAGGAAUGACAUCUGGUUUCCUGUCAGUCCAGUCGAGGGCUUGUUCAUUGUCAACAUCGGAGAUAAUUUCGAGGAUGAUGGACACCUUUGGUCAAAAUUGUAGAAAGAAUCGGACCUUGUACAGCAAGAGCCUGUACUUGGUGCUGAAAUCUGUGGUGGGAUGGUGGCUGUGGGUGGUCGUGGUGGCUUCGGUCAUGUUGGUGGUGGUUGUAGAGGGCGUGGGCAAGGUGGAUCGUUGGGUGUUCAAGGUGGUUGUCUUGCUGGUGGAAUCGGUAGUGUUCAUGGUUGUGCGCAGGGGCUCUGCCCAUGGCCGUGAUCCUGUUGGUCGAAGGUGUUUUGUGCAUGACUUGGCCCCGGGUGUAGUCUGGUCUCCUUUGUGAAGUUCGAAUCUAAGUUGGCCAUGGAUCUAACUUGCUGCCUCUUUUUGACAAAGUUUCCACCUGAAUUGAAGACAUCUUGGUUAUCUAAUAUUUCUAGGUAGAGUGGGUAGCAAAACCGUUAAUAUUUGAACUCAAUUGACAAUUGGCUGUGUUCAAUUCUUGUAAUGACCUUCACUCUUACCACCAAUUCCCAGAAAUACAGAUGUAAGUUUAGUUUUUGAAUUUGCUCUCCUUUGUAUGAACUCUCAACAUCCCAUAGUUAAAAGGCAUCGCUCCCUUCCCCCUUCCAUGUUAGUCACUUAUUUGUAUACAACACAUUAAUGCCACUUUGACUAUGAAUAAUCAUAUCGGUUCUUUGGGUCUGGUGGACAUAAAUAAUUAGCCUUCACUUUUAUUUUGAGUUCAGAAUGAGAGAAACCAGUAGAGGAUUAAUUCCAUGCUUUCUAAAUCUAAGCACACACAGUGAAAUCAUUGUUGAUGUUGGAUAAUGUGUCAAUCUUUUUUGAUCGUUUACUUUAGUUUGUUGCUUAGUUAGCUUGAUGAACUUCCUAUCUAAUCAAGUAAUAUGAGGUUUGUUGGGUUGCUUGGUUACUGCAACUAGAUAGUGUACCAAGUUCCGUGGCUCCAACCGAUUUUGUUUAAUUUUUUUAUAUUUUCAGAGUUUAAGUGUAGAAUCUAGGGGUGGGUUAUGGCGAGCUUGCUCAUAUGGUCGCAUGGAUAUUGAUUAUUUGUACGGACAUGGCAUCAGCCGCACCAUGGGAUGGGCAUGUGUGCCAAGCAAAAAUGUUUUGACUGAUCUGUGUAUUUCACAUGUGUAUCUUGAUGUAGCAUCCCACUUUGCAAUAUAAGUGACGGUAUACGGUUGUGCCAGCCAAAGUGACAGAUUGGUCAAAGGAAGCAUUCCAUGCUGCAUACUGAUCAACAACCUUUAGCACCUAUCAAUUGGUUCCCUCCAGCCCAAGUGUUUUUAUACUACACAACAUGAAUAUAUUUUAUCAUGAAAUUGUAGUACAUCGCAUUAUCACUAAAAUAGUUUGUUUAUGGCCUAUGUAUGCACUUCUUCUUUUCAUGUUCAGUUUAGAGCAAUUGAUUUAUCAUAUGCAUGAUGGUAAAGCGGGUUGUGUUAUUUGGAGCAUGGCAUCACAUAUUGCAAAAUCUAACUUCGCCCGCCCAUUGAUAGCCAGGUGCUCAAGGCAAACCUUUUUUUCAUUUGCUACUUUUUCUACUCGAAUAUGCAGAUUACAAGUAUCUGUAUUUUUGUCCUCUGUACUCACGUAGGGGGUUUGUAUUUACUUCCGGCUUAUUACAAACAUAUUUGAUCUUUUAUAUUUGUGUAAGUCUAUACAAAAAUGGUUGCUUUGCAGUAUUGAAUUUUGUACUGUGAUCUUAAUACUUAUGUAUGCAUUGGUCAUGACUAGGGAAACUAUUAGCUUGCAGGAUUCAAUGCGUGUUGGACGUCUAUAUAUAGUGCAGAUUUCUACUGAUUAAUUAUUAUCUUCCAUAUUCUUGGUAAACUUUAACCUCUGAUUAUUCAGUUGGGUGGAGUUUGCUCAUAACCCGGCAACAGAGAAGGUUCAGCUCUUUUAUUGAUAUUUCAGGCUAUGGUAUUUCUAAUGUGAGAAUGUCUUUAAAGGUUAUUAUUUUGAGUUUCUUUAUAUCUUUCUCUCGCAUGGCUUUUUUUAAUAUUGUAGAUUGCUCUUUCAAAUUUUGUUCUCAUAUAUGUGCUUUCAUUCUCAUACGAUCCACACCUGUAUGAUGCAGGUUGUUGAGGUUUUAACCAUUCUCAUGCUUGAGGCGAUGGUAUUAUUUGUAUGAUCACGGUGGUUAAAAAAGACUACUUCGGUUUGUGGAAAGUGAUCUGUUGUAGCCACCUUUGUUUGUACUCUGGUCAAACAAUAAUGGUUAGAAUUGCAGCCAAGGAAUUCUUAGAAACAUUUCCAUUUGUUGUUUAGAAAUCGUAGGGUUUUGAGCAGGGUUGCUGCAUUUCGUUUGUAUGUAAAUGAAGAUCUGCCUGGGAUCAACGUGGCACAUAUACCAUUUGUGAACUAGAUUAAUCUCACAAUUCUUUGAUGUA